GUCUGAGUGGUUUUUGAUGGCCCAAUGUUUGAAGAGAUGGCAGCGUGGGUUUCUGCCCUGACAUCCAAAACUUGGAGCUUUAUCAUGGCUACUGAAUAAUUGUUAC